rnacentral:rRNA from 1 species
GAACUCGCUGUGAAGAUGCAGUGUACCCGCGGCAAGACGGAAAGACCCCGUGAACCUUUACUAUAGCUUGACACUGAACAUUGAGCCUUGAUGUGUAGGAUAGGUGGGAGGCUUUGAAGCGUGGACGCCAGUCUGCGUGGAGCCAACCUUGAAAUACCACCCUUUAAUGUUUGAUGUUCUAACGUUGGCCCCUGACCGGGGUUGCGGACAGUGUCUGGUGGGUAGUUUGACUGGGGCGGUCUCCUCCCAAAGCGUAACGGAGGAGCACGAAGGUUAGCUAAUCCUGGUCGGACAUCAGGAGGUUAGUGCAAUGGCAUAAGCUAGCUUGACUGCGAGCGUGACGGCGCGAGCAGGUGCGAAAGCAGGUCAUAGUGAUCCGGUGGUUCUGAAUGGAAGGGCCAUCGCUCAACGGAUAAAAGGUACUCCGGGGAUAACAGGCUGAUACCGCCCAAGAGUUCAUAUCGACGGCGGUGUUUGGCACCUCGAUGUCGGCUCAUCACAUCCUGGGGCUGAAGUAGGUCCCAAGGGUAUGGCUGUUCGCCAUUUAAAGUGGUACGCGAGCUGGGUUUAGAACGUCGUGAGACAGUUCGGUCCCUAUCUGCCGUGGGCGCUGGAGAAUUGAGGGGGGCUGCUCCUAGUACGAGAGGACCGGAGUGGACGCAUCACUGGUGUUCGGGUUGUCAUGCCAAUGGCACUGCCCGGUAGCUAAAUGCGGAAGAGAUAAGUGCUGAAAGCAUCUAAGCACGAAACUUGCCCCGAGAUGAGUUCUCCCUGAGACUAUAAGUCUCCUGAAGGAACGUUAAAGACGAUGACGUUGAUAGGCCGGGUGUGUAAGCGCAGCGAUGCGUUGAGCUAACCGGUACUAAUGAACCGUGAGGCUUAACCUUACAACGCCGAAG